UGCGCAGGCGGUUUUGUAAGUCAGAUGUGAAAUCCCCGAGCUCAACUUGGGAACUGCGUUUGAAACUGCAAGACUAGAAUAUGUCAGAGGGGGGUAGAAUUCCACGUGUAGCGGUGAAAUGCGUAGAGAUGUGGAGGAAUACCAAUGGCGAAGGCAGCCCCCUGGGAUAAUAUUGACGCUCAAAUGCGAAAGCGUGGGGAUCAAACAGGAUUAGAUACCCCAGUA
rnacentral:rRNA from 1 species